rnacentral:tRNA from 1 species
GCCCGGCUAGCUCAGUCGGUAGAGCAUGAGAAUCUUAAUCUCAGGGUCGUGGGUUCGAGCCCCACGCUGGGCG